UCCAGUUUCAUCAAGACUCUACCCAGGAAGAAUACAAACUCACUCUAAGGACGACCCUCCCUGCUCAAAUAAGCCCAUUUCCUGCCUUGCUGAAGAUUUAUAAACUGGACAUUGCUGAGGAAUUUCCAGGCAGGCUCAUCUAUAAUUUGCAAAAUGGUGAAUGAAUACAAGGAAAUUGUUCUUAUAAAAGGAUUAGAGGACAUGAAGGACUAUGCAUUUAGAACCAUCAAGUCCUUACUAAGAAAAGAACUAAACCUAACUAAAAAAAUGCAAGAUGAUUAUGACAGGAUUCAACUGGCUGACCUGUUGGAGGACAAGUUCCCCCAAGA